rnacentral:lncRNA from 10 species
UUGGGGUUUUGACUAUGUUGUUUGUAUAGCUUUAUGUUUUCCUUUGUAUAUUUUUACUUAUUUGUAUUUUUUUUUCCAAUGAAUAUGCAUUAUUUGGACAAUGAAGAAAGGCAAACUGUAAAAGACAAAAAGAAAAAGAAGGACCUCCAGAGUGGCAGAAUAACUCCUCGCCUGUCAGUCAUUUCAUGGGUUGUAUUUUAAGAUUGAAGCUAAGCACUGUUUGGGUGAGGGAGAAGGGACAAGAUGGAGGAAGGUGAACAAGAAGGCAUAAUCCAUGUUGCUUCCGGGUUCUUCCUCACCCGGGAAAAUGCAGCCCGCCCCUGGGAGAUGCAGAUCAACCGAGCAUGCGCCAGGUGAUGUCAAUCCGAAGAGAUCGAAACUUACCUGGCCACGCCUACGGAGACGCCCCUAUCACGCCCUUAUCCUGCCCACUGC